AGAGUUUGAUUAUGGCUCAGGAUGAACGCUAGCGACAGGCUUAACACAUGCAAGUCGAGGGGCAGCAUAAAAGUAGCAAUACUUGGUGGCGACCGGCGCACGGGUGAGUAACGCGUAUGCAACCUACCUAUCAGGAGGGGAAUAACCCGGCGAAAGUCGGACUAAUACCGCAUAAAACAGGGGCACCGCAUGGUGAUAUUUGUUAAAGAAAUUCGCUGAUAGAUGGGCAUGCGUUCCAUUAGGUAGUUGGUGAGGUAACGGCUCACCAAGCCGACGAUGGAUAGGGGAACCGAGAGGUUGGUCCCCCACACUGGUACUGAGACACGGACCAGACUCCUACGGGAGGCAGCAGUGAGGAAUAUUGGUCAAUGGGCGGGAGCCUGAACCAGCCAAGUCGCGUGAAGGAAAGAAGGAUCUAUGGUUCGUAAACUUCUUUUGCAGGGGAAUAAAGUGCAGGACGUGUCCUGUUUUGUAUGUACCCUGAGAAUAAGGAUCGGCUAACUCCGUGCCAGCAGCUGC
rnacentral:rRNA from 1 species